GCAAGUCCUAACACAAAGAAAGCACAGGAAACUCACCCCACCCAGCCUGAGAAAGUUCAGAGCUGGCCUGCUGUAAAAUGUCCUGACUAGGUCUUUGCUAGCCAUCCGCCAUAGUGGGUGGAUAAAAGACCCGAGCUAACAUGGGGUUAGCUCGUUAAACAACAAUAAAGCCUCAUGCAGUUUGCAGCAAGUUUUCGAAUCUGCCUGGUGAUUGGGGUGAUUGGAGGCCUGAAUUUUCCUGGGGUCUAACAUUUGGGGGCUCGUCCUGGAUUUUUGACCACUCCUCACCUAAGUGGAUUCGAUCUUGGAGGUAAGAUGAUUUGAGCUAGAAACUUAUAUGUUCAGUGUUCUGCAUGUCUCUUGCUGUUUUGUUGGUUUGGUACCAUGACUUGAAUUUGAUCUGUGCUACCACAGGACUUGUACUUGUAUUUAUAAUUUGGACCUCAGGGGAAAACAGAUGUGUUCAGGGACUCUGAAGUCCCGCCUUGGACUAAAGUCAAGGGUCAUUUGAUUUGGACCAUAGGGAAGGCAGACGUGCCCAGAAACAGACGUGUUUCUGGAACCCUUGGUCCCGCCCUGGACAAAAGUCCAAGGGUUGUUUGUAAUUUUGGUUUGGUGUCAUGUCUGUGUCUAUAAUUUGGUCUGCCACUCUGUUUGUCCUGUCUCUUAUGUCUGUCCUGUUUUUGCUAUUUGUGUCUGUCUCCAUAUUAACCACCCCCAUCCCCGGAUUCCACCUCAUCUAUGAUCGGCAGAUGUGCCCGCAGGAUCACAGACUGCUGUCCUGAGGACACCCAGAGGAUCUACCACGACACCCCCUUUCGUUGAGUCACGUGGCACCACACUAGUUUAUAAUAUCAGACAGACUGCCAGAUCCUGACAGUGACCCUAAGUCCCCAAAGAAGAUUAUGAGGCACCCCAGUUCCUGCACCUGGACCAGUGAGCAAGAUGCUCAGAUGUGAUACCUGCUGCCCGCCAGGACCUGGCCAAGACUGUGGACAAAGCUGCUGGACACUGGAAAAUUGAUUACACCUCAUUUGCCUAGACAAAACAAGGUCAGUCUUUUCCAUGUCCCUCUUCCACAGAGAGGAAAAAAAAAAGAAAAGAAAAGAAAAGAAAAGAAACAACCUCUCACCUUAUAGGCCUGCCGAAGAUUGAUAUUCUUUGAGACAUCUGCCUCCAGUGGUAAAGGAGAAACUUGGGUAUGGCAAACUAUAUAUGGACUGGCUUCUGUCACUUUUUAGUAGAUUCGGAUAAAAUAUACCCUUCUCAGAUCUCUAAAAUAUUAAUUGUUGUCAGCUUGACAGCAUCAGACAGUCAGAUCCAGCAUGUUAGCUGAUAAAGUAAUGACUACCUACUGUUCAGUCACAAGCUCAAGGUUUUUAGGUUUAUUUUGGUUGUCAUCUAAGUACAAACUUAAAGGGCUUAUCAUCAGGCCAAAGGCACCUCUGUCCAAUCCAUACCUGGCUCUCUGGACAGAAGAAAAAUGUACAUGCUUAUAGCCCAAAUCUGUAGUUUUUGCUAGGACUCAAAGUUAUAAAUAUGUUCCUGCUGUUUGAACAGAUAUCCAGAUAUCUGCCUUUUCUGCACUGUGGGCUUCAGUAAAUAAGUUUUAACCUCUGUUCCUAGUUUAAACAUGUCUUAAACAGGUUUCUGCUCUGGCAGACAUCUGAGUAUCAGUUGUUGACUACAGGCUGUUCUAAGUAGACUGCGAGCCCUGGACUUGCUGUGGAUAUGAACCAGUCCAGCUGAUGUGGACACCCCCUGUCUCUUCAACAGAGUCUGCCAACAGCCCCUGAUGGAUUCCCCAUUGCCUAAAUUCCUUUUUGCUUUUGACUAGCAUUUCAACCUUCUAGGGUCCCUAACUUUGUCCCAAAGUCAGCAGGAAGUAGCAUGGGAAAGAAUACGUUGUCCAUUUUCCCUGGUUAAAAUGCUAAGUCAGAAGGAACUCCCUUGCAUGAGGAUGCCAAUAUCUCUCACUCCCUGAUGGGGGCGCUAGAGAGACAAUAAUUCCAUGAUUGGAAUUUCCAAAAAAAGAAAAUUGAGGAAUGAAGGGACCAGCUGCCCCUUUCGGCAGCCAUGACAGUAACACGUGUUCGCCAUGACCUUGCCUUGGUUACUUAGGGGUCAGAUGCCUGCCUCGCGGCAAGGAACCAAUCAGAAGUUAGCUGGUGGCGCUAUGCUUUAAGGCUCUGGGUGUGCUGUAUGGACAAGUGCACAGCAAUGACGCACAGAGCAUAGCAACCACCCUGGGAGGGCCUGUGGGCCAUAACAACCAAUUGGCCAAUCAACACAGGGCAAGCCCUCCAAGCCUGGAGGCACACCAAUCCUGAGCCUGUGCGAACCCCUAGACACUCCCCUUACGCUGCCCUACAAGAUCUCUCUGCAGCUGGUUGGAGCUGUCUUUGCUAGCCAUCUGCCAUGGCGGGUGGGUGAAAGACCCGAGCUAACAUGGGGUUAGCUCGUUAAACAACAAUAAAGUCUCAUGCAGUUUACAGAAAAAAAAAUGUUCUGACUAUUAUCACCACUGGUUACAAAAUUUGAAGAAGUGAUGGAAUACUAUGUAUUUUAUGCAUUUUGAACUGUAAUGGUCCAUAUUUGAAUUUUGGCAUUGUGUUUAAUCCAGCCUAUGCUCCACUGCACAGAUUUUAAUUUUUAACAUAAUUAUUUUAGUUUUGAUAUUGUAAUAUAAUUACACCCUUUCUUCCUUUCCUUUCUGACCUUUAAACUCUGCCAUAUACCCCUCCUUUCUCUCUUUCAAAUCCUUUUUUUAUUAACUGUUGUUACAUACAAGCAUACAUGCACACAUAUAUUCCUACAUACAUAAAUACUCCCUGCUUAAUCUGUAUAAUGUUAUUCAUAUGUAUGUUUUCAGGGCUGGCCAUUUGGUAAUGGAUAACCAAUUGGUAUGCCAUUCCUGGGGGGAGACUAUUUCUCGCACUCUCAGCAUUCCUUAGUUGUCUGUAGUUCUUUGUGUAGGGUUCUGUGGGUUUUCUCCCAUCCACUAUGCAUGUCUGUUGGUGUCAUCUUUAUUCACCUCAUGUGUAGGCAGAUGUGUUGGUAAGAGUUUAUGAGUAUACCUUCUGAUAUUCUUCAGAGACAUACAUAGACUACAGCAAACUCCAUGAUUCUCUGGCUCUGACAAUCUUUCUGCUGCCUCUUCCAGCCUUAGGUAUAGGAGUGUUUCAUAGACACAUUCACUGAGACUGACCUCCACAAUUCACAUUUUUAUUAGUUGUGGUUCUCUAUAAUGAUCUAUGUCUAUUGCAAAGAGAGGUUUCCUUAAUGAGGGAUAAGGAUUACACUUAUCUGUGGGUAUAAGGACAAAUAUUUAGAGUGUAGUUAGGGAUUAUACUGAUGUAAUAAAGGGGUGGUUGUAGGCUCUCCUCUGAUAGCCAUGCCUUCACUAGCCUUGGGAUGGAUGGUACUGUCUCUUGUUGAGCAGCUUGUCUCAGCUUUGUCUCUUAAUGAGCGGCUCUUAAGUUUAGUUAGAGAGCUGUUGGUUGCUGGGUUUUGCUAAGCUAUUCUAUUACCAAUAAAAACUCUAGAGUCAGAUAUUGGGGUGAAAACCUUGUAGAUCAGAGAAGCAGAGGAGGAGUGACCUGCUGAUCUUCCCUUUCUUAUCAGAGACCCAGUCAGCACCUCUUCUCUCCACACAUCCCAGGAAGAAGAGCAUGCAAAUUCCAAGUCCCGCCUUUCUCCUUCCUCUCAUUCUUCCCUAUCCAUAUUUCUGGCUACUCUGUGACUAAUUCCGGUCGCUGGCUCUGCCCACCAAUUCAAAGGUAACUUUAAAUUUGUAUCAAUAUAAAAAAAUCCAAACCAAUGUAAAUUUUUUUUAGAUUACUUGCUGCUUUUUGGAUUAAAGUAGAUUCAAUAAUCUACCCUUUCCAUCUAUUAUUCUUAUCUCUCUUUUUCUUUCAGAAAGAGAUCCCUUAAUCUAUCCUCUAAGACCAAUAACAACCUGGAACUAAUUCCUCUAAAUAGUGAAAAACAUCCACAACCCACAAAACAACCAAAACCCACCCACCCCACGUCUUAGGAAUGUGUGUGUAGUGUUCCUAAAAUUACUUCCAUGUUGAGGUGCACAAAUUUCACCAGUGAGACGUGGAGGGGGUCAGACAUAUAGUAUAUAGGAAAGGUAAUGAGUCAUAUAGCAGAAUAUAGACUAAUAUAAAGGGGUUAAUUUAAGUUAUAAGGGCUAGCUGGGAAUAAGCCUAAACUAAAGCAAGGCAUUCAUAAGUAAUAAGUCUCCAUGCCAUUGUUGGGGAACUGGCAAAACAAAGAAAGUCUGACUACAGUUGGUCACCACCAAGAGAUGCAUGUUGAUACUACAUGCUUAGGGUUAUGUGUCAUGCUGAUUGUUAUGGUAGUGCAUGUGUGUCAUAGCUGGAUAGGACUGCUGUUUGUUUCCUUCCUCAGAAGCUUGUAUGGCAUGAAAGCUAGUCCUCAAGUGAGAGGCUUUCAGGUUAGUUCCAGGUCAGGGGCCCUCUGGGCCUGGCUUCUAAAGUGCAUGAUGUCUUCAUCAGUGGGGGCUCACCUUCCACCUCUGAGGGGCAACCAAGGACAAUAGCAACAGCUUGUACUUUCUGGGGAGUCUCUGUGAAAGAACUCAAGAGACAGCUUCUGUGUAUGAUGAUGGAGUUUCUCUUAGAUGGUCCUUGGCUUUGGGGAAAAACAUUGUCAGCCCAGACAAAAAUUUAUUUAUACGCAGACUUACAUUUAUUAUAGGGUGUUUUUAGGUAUAUUGUUAAUAGUACGGUUUCUUAUGAGUUUUUCAGACCUUGCUGGUUUUACCCUCCUCUCUUUGUUCUGUUUUUCUCUCUUCCUCCCCUAGUAAACCGUCUCAUUUUUCCUCUUUUCUCAAUAAGAUCACUUGUACUCUGAUAUCUCCCUCUCUAUUACUCCUUGAUCCCAAAAAAAUGGUUCCUUUUUACUCUCCUGGUUUCUGCUAUUACUCCAAGAUAUAUACCCCCAUAUGAAGGUUAUGGGCUAGGAGCCUCAGAUGAGAUAGACCAUGUUGGACUUUCUGGAUCUGAGUUACCUCACUUAGUAUGAUCUUUUCUAGUUCUAACCAUUUACCUGCAAAGCUCAUGGCUUUGGUUUCCUUUAUAGCCAAAUUCAUAUGACCCAGAUUUAUACAUCUUACCUGUAUUUGGCUGUUGGCCUCUAACUCUUUGAAGAUGUGAUAUGUAAAUCUAAGUACUUAAAAUUUAUGUUAUAUAUAUAUAUAUAUAUAUAUAUAUAUAUAUAUAUAAUUUCAAUACAUAAUCCCUUGGAAUUAUUUUUAAUCUAGUCAUUAUCAGCUUGGGAUAUGUGAUAACAAAACAUUAAAAUAGUUCUUGUCUAGUCAUAUUUUUUCUAACCAGAUAGCUAUAAAAAUAGCUGCUCAUUAAACUCAGGAUAUGUUCAUUAACUAUUAACAAAGUGUCUAGACAAUGCCACUCCAGUGGACAGCCAACUUUCAUCUGGAAUAAUCUAUUAUCUGUUCCAUAUCUGAUUUUCACCAAAGGCAAAAACAUUCUCAUUUCUAUGACUUGAAACUGACCUAUGUUGUCCCCAUAGUCAACCCUGUCCUCUGAUUCUUUUUGUUUGCUUUUUGCCCAUGCAAAAUGUGAUGAAUACAAAAAUUUCUGCCCCCCCCCAUUUCUCCCAACAAACUGCUCCUUUACAGAACUCUCUUUCUCACUCCCAUUGCUGUUACAAUAAAAAAAAAAGGGCUUUAGACUCAUAGAAACCUGGGUUACAAUUCCAGUUAUACCUGUUGCUUCAGGCUCAGCGGGUUGAUCCUUUGUAUCCUCAGUUGUACAAUGAAGCAACUGUAAGACAGUGAGGAGAGAAGAACAAUGUAGAGUUGGAUAACAAGGAAAACAUUCCAUGCAUUUUAGUCUCCUUGGAUUCCUCUGCAGUAGUCAAACAAUCAUUCCCUUGCUGCCAUCUUAUGGCAUUCUCCCCUUCUGACUUCUCCAUUGUAUAUCACCUCGACUGCACUCUAAGCACUUUAACAAAAAAAAAAAAAAAAAAAAAAGCAAUGCCUUUAGUUAUUCUGAAUUCUACUCUGUGUCUCUGGUGGCUUGAAAGGGAAUGACCCCCAAGGGGGUGGCACUAUUAGGAGGUAUGGCCCUGUUGGAGGAAGUGUAUCUCUGUGGGAUGGGCUUUGAGGUCUCUUUUCUCAAGCUUCCGUCAGUGUGACAGUCAGUUGACUUCCUGUUGCCUUCAAGAUGUAGCACUUUCAGCUAUCAGCAUCAUUUCUGCCUGUAUGCUGCCAUGAUGAUAAUGAACUGAAUCUCUGAAACUAUAAGCGAGCCACCUCACUGACAUCAGACACCAAGAUGCAAAGUUUGGAGUUUGUCUGGCUGGUUCUUGGUCUUGCUUCAGUCGAGUAUUUCCUCAGUAUGCUCAUUCCCUAAAUUUUAGAAUGGUAAGGUAUAUCCUGUACCAUUACAUGUUAGUGCAACCAACGUUGGUGGCACAUGCCUUUAAUCCCAGCACUUGGGAGACAGAAGCAGGCAGAUCUCAGUGAGUUUGAGGUUAGCCUGGUCUACAAAGCUAGUUCCAGGACUGCCAGGACUGUUACACAGAGAAAACCUGUCUCAAAAAAAAAAAAAAAAAAAGAUCUGCUGUUUGAUUGCCAUGCAUCUCAGAAGGGACUUAAAAUAGUAUGAGGCUGUUAUAGAGUUGAACUAAACCUCUGAAACUGUAAGUGAGCCACACUAGUUAAAUGCUUUCUUUAUAAGAGUUGCUGUGGUCGUGAUGUCCCUUCACAGCAAUAAAAACCUUAACUAAGACAGUGUCUUUCCUUGUAAUAAAUGAUCAACUGUUGGUUUUUGUUCUUAAUGCAGUAGGUCAUAUCACUAGUCCUUCCAUCAAUCCUUUUCUUAAGCUUGUCUUUCUCCAUGUAUAGUUUCCCAAGAAUACCACAGGGAGUGAAAGCUGGACCAGUAAGAAUCGCAGCCUCAAAUAGAAUUCAACUCCAGCCAACUAAGCGUCUCUAACAAAGGUCUACUUUUAGAUGUGUGUGGGCAGAGAUAAGAGAAUCAGAAAAACAUGGUGAGGCACCUAGAAGCUAGCAACAGAAGAAGCUCCUGUAUCCAUGAGCUGGAAGACAAAAUGCUGAGUAAAGGUGGGAGCUGUGGCCAUGAAGAUCCAUUUGCCAUGGGACAAAGAAAAGCAGAAGGUGUUUCAGGGGACCUAAUUGCCUGAAUUUACUCUCCUCUCAUACUUUGAUCUCCUGUUGGUGUUAAUUAUUCACUGAGUCUACUCAGAAGUUCUGGUAUGUGAUCCCUAGAGAUGAGAGUGUGGAGUUAAGAAGGAAGGGGAGAGAACUGAUCUUGGGUGGGAACAAAUGAAGAGUUACCAAUGCAGAGCAACCUUCCUCUGUGUGACCAAGUGUCUCAGAAUGUGUCAUGUUGCCUCACAGCACAAAACAGAAGGUAGGAGGAGUUCCAAAAGACUGGUCAAAGUGAAUAUUCCUGGCAUUAAAACAAGUCAAAGUCAUGAGCCUCCUGGCCUGUCACACACAGAAGGGUUUAUACAGACCUAGCAGAAAACAAACCAAGAUGGAGGUAGUUUACAGAGGGUCUUUCAACAUGGUCAAGAUCAUAAGCAAAAGAAAGAAAGGGCAACAUCUUCACAUUAAAUGGGGAUUAAAAGAGGCCCCCAAACUAAGUUCAACCUGAUACACUUGGUGUGAAAUUAGGUGAGAAAAAUUAUUGUACAAUUGGCAAAUUUUCAUGGAAUCUUUGGGUUAGAACACUGUGGUGCUCUCACCUUGAGCACUGUGUCAUGAGAAAAGGAGAGGAUGCCAAACAUCUUUUUUCUGUUGAACAGUCACAUGCACUUGGAAGUAAUUUGUCACAAAGGGUCAGUGUGCACACAUUACUUUAGAGAGAUGGCAUAAAGCCUAAGAGCACUGGUUGCUCUUCCAGAGACUCUAAGGUUCAAUUCCCAGCACCUACAUGGCGACCAACAACCAUCAGUAACUCCAGUUCCAUGGGAUCAGAUGCCCUCUUCUGGCCUCUGUGGGUACUUUGGGCAUGUGGUAUUUAUAUGUGCAAGUCAAGCUCUCAUACACAUAAAGUAGAAUUAAAUUAACCUUUUAAAAAUAUGUUUUGUGUGAAAGGGGGAGGAUGGAUAGAUAGAUAGAUAGAUAGAUAGAUAGAUAGAUAGAUAGAUAGAUAGAUAGGUAGAUGAUAGAUUGUGUGUGUGUGUGUGUGAGAGAGAGAGAGAGAGACAGAGAGAGAGAGAGAGAGAGAGAGAGAGAGAGAGAGAGAGCAUGAAAUUAUAUAUUAGGAGAAGAAGAACCAACAGUAGACUAAGUAUGCUGUUGACAGGAAGUACUCAUUUGCAUGGAGAGAAUUGGUCCCCCACUGUCUCAGUGGAGUCUCAUCAAAUACAUGCUUUUCAGAUGGCUGUAGGCACCCAAUGACUCCUACCAUUAUAGAGAGAAUUCUAUGCUUCUCAUGACAAUUUGUCUGAACAUUAUUAGCUGCUUCUCAUUCUUACUAGAAAUUAAAUUGUUACUUUAAAACUGAAAGAAAUUAGGUGAAGGAAAAGGUCCUGCUAUGUCUUGGUUGGAAGACUUGGCAUGAAACUGGAAUUUUCUGCCUCUUAUGUAAGGAAGUGAGUAAAUGAUGAGCAUAAUAUUUAUGCCAGCCUUACAAUAGAAUUAUUUUCCACCUCCAAAAUAGAACUGCUAAUAUAACAUUUGCUCUCUGGGGUGAAACAGUAUGCUUAUUUAGCCACUAUUUCAUCCUAUCCCCCAAGCAGUUGUUUGAAAAGACUAUGAUUGCAUAUAUUGAGCACACAUGUCUUUUGGAAGUCAGAAAUAAAACCAAUAACUGCAAUUAUUUUCCAUUCAAGGAAGGUACAAGUAAACCUACUAUGACUCUGAGCAAAGCUGGGAUGCAAAGCUAGCUCUAGGAUGCUUCUGAUGAGACCAAGGACAGCAUAUUUGUUGCAUGGUCAUUGCUUCUUAUGUGGGGAAUUUAGAGAUGGGGAAGCAUCCAUGUUUUUCAUGCUAUCUACUUCAAAGAUUUACACAGGACUCUCAGAAAAAGAAACAAUUCUAUGAAGCCAUCACAGUCUAGACUUGAGGGAGAAAGCCUGAUAUCCAAGUAAUAUUUUAUUAGGAUUAAGAGGCCCAGUUACUUCAUAUUAGCUUAAUUGAUACCCUUCACAGCAUUAUAAUUUUAAUGUACUUUCAAUUCAGCAAACAGGUUUUAAGUGCCUACUGUGUCCCAGGCACCAUAGAAAACUUGAUCAAAUAAAACUGCUUCCCAGGUCACCAUUUCCUUUUUCCAGAAAAAUAUGAUCUAGCAUGUGCAAUUUCUAUCAACAUAGGACUUCAUUUUGGUUACAUUUUAUUUAUUUCUUCUGGAAGGGUGCAUGUGUGCCAUUGUUGUAAUUUUUAAAGAAGUGCCACAUGAAAGAUGCCAUGUGACAUAGUUCAAAUGGAGGUUUUUUUAAUUAUUAUUAGAGAAAGGGAUCAUAAAAAGGGGAAAGGGGCGGGGGAGCAGCCUCCAGGGACAGGAACAGCAGUAGAGAGGAAAGAGAGGCAGAGAGAGAAAGAAAGAGAGGAGGAUGGGAGGUAGGCAGGGCCCUUUUAAAAGGGAAUGUAGUAAAUGUGCACAAGUGGUGCUCUUAGUGGCUGCAGUUGAAGGUGUAUCCUGUCAGAAUCCCAAGGGCAGGCCAGUACAGAUGCCUGAAUACUAACACAGGGAUUGUGUAGAGGUCAGAGCACAGCUUGUAAAAAUCAGUUCUCUUUCUUUCCACCACGUGGCUCCCAGGAAUCUAACUCAGUCCUCAGGCUUGGUGUCAAGUGGUUUUUUUUUUUUUCUACAACAUAUCUCAUCAACCCCCAAAUAGGACUUCCUCUAAGAACUAUACUGCAGGAAGGAAUAUUUCAGGAUAUUCACUAAGAGUAUGGCUUGGUUGUUACUGAGGACUAAAAGGAGGGCCCAUUCAUUAAUAGACUAAAGAGCUGCAGCCUCUAAAAUUCCUUCUUAGGUAGUUGGGUCACAUAAUAAUUUGUUUGUUAAAGUAUAUUCUUUUGUUAAGACAUAGUUGGAUAUCAAAACCACAAUUUUGACUACUACAUCUGGUUUGGUAAUGCAAUCUGAAAUAAACAGGUGUCCUGUUGACUAGCAUAAUUGCCUUGC
ensembl:lncRNA